AGUGUCAGACAGGAAGUCCUGGGAAUAGCCCACUCAGGAGGCAGCUGAUGCCAACCUUGCCCUGUUCUGAAAUUCAGGACUUCAUCUGAAGUUGCUACCUGAAGUGAACGAAACCAGCUGCCAGAAUUGUGGAGCAUUCCGCCCCAACUCACUCACUGAUAGGCAAAGGGCACAUCAUAGGAAAGCAAUUGACUGGGGACCUGGGACUUUCUCCAGAAAUCUGGACUGUUUGAUAGUCGCAUGGGCUGAUGUUUCCUUUUUUGUACUAAAUGAAUGGUUAGGACUGUUGUAAUACUAUUUUACCAUCGUGUAGCACCUUUCACUAGCUACACACAUCACAUCACUGAAAUGCAGCCUGCUCCGGGGUGGAGAAUGGAAGGGGAAUGGAAGGGGUAAGGAGACCACCCCUGUGUUCACCACAGUGCCUCAAGUUCUUUCAUGUCCAGGCAGAAUCAUGUUAUUUUUUAAGAGUCUUAUAAACACACCCACUAAACUAAAUUGAUCACCCUGGAAAGAUGAAGGACUGCGUCAGUCUUGCUGAGCUCUGAACCUGCGGCUCAAGGAAAUCUCAGUUGCUCCAUGCUGAUUUGUAGGUCACUAAGCUGCCCCAUUAAAUGGUGGAUCUUUAAACUUCUGCAAAAAAAAUAAAAAAUAAAAAGCCACC